AGGACGAACGCUGGCGGCGUGCUUAACACAUGCAAGUCGAACGCUUUCCAUUCGGUAGCAAUACCGAUGAAGAAAGAGUGGCGAACGGGUGAGUACCACGUGAGCAACCUACCCCGAAGACUGGGACAACACCGGGAAACCGGUGCUAAUACCAGAUAUCCAUAACGGAGCGCAUGGUCUGAUAUGGAAAUGCCGUCUUCACAGACGUACGCUUCGGGAGGGGCUCGCGGCCUAUCAGCUAGUUGGUGAGGUAACGGCUCACCAAGGCUUCGACGGGUAGCUGGUCUGAGAGGACGAUCAGCCACACUGGGACUGAGACACGGCCCAGACUCCUACGGGAGGCAGC
rnacentral:rRNA from 1 species